AUUGACGCUGGCGGCAUGCCUUACACAUGCAAGUCGAACGGCAGCACGGGAGCAAUCCUGGUGGCGAGUGGCGACGGGUGAGUAAUACAUCGGAACGUGCCCGAUCGUGGGGGAUAACUACUCGAAAGAGUAGCUAAUACCGCAUACGAUCUACGGAUGAAAGCGGGGGAUCGCAAGACCUCGCGCGGACGGAGCGGCCGAUGGCAGAUUAGGUAGUUGGUGGGAUAAAGCUUACCAAGCCGACGAUCUGUAGCUGGUCUGAGAGGACGACCAGCCACACUGGGACUGAGACACGGCCCAG
rnacentral:rRNA from 1 species